CGUAUAGAUGAGAUUCGUUUGGCUUCGAUGCGUUUUUUAAGGUGGCGAGCUAGCAUGGUGUCCGCCUUGUUCCCUUUUUCGUAGAAUUUUUGUUUUAGCCACAUCAGGGCCUUAGAGGUGUCUGCCUGCGUGAGGCUUUUUAAUAGGUCCCUGAGUGCUGUUAGUUCGGUCAGUGUGGUAGGUUGAGCGUGUCUUUUGUGUAUGGUUUCUAGACGGCGUAGUUCCGUCAUCGUGAU